rnacentral:lncRNA from 1 species
UAUAUCUCCUUAAAACCCUUUUCUUAUCUGCUCUCUCUUUAGCUACAAGCCCUUUUAUUUAUUUUCAUUUCUUUUUUCUGUUUAUUCUGGUCUCUUUGCUUCUUUCUCCUUCUGAAUAUGAUAAUGGUACAUGGAUGUUCAACACCUAUGGUGUUAGCCAAGUGUGAGAGCAUCUCGUUCUUGUUUGAUGAAGUUCAGCUUUCUGGAAGAGAAAUUUUGCUGGAGGUUUUCGCAAAACUCGAACUGGUGGCCUCUUGCAGAAAACUUCCUGUAGUGCUAAAAAUAAAAACAACCUGAAAGCUCAGUCGAGAAAUAUAUUGGAACUUACCUUUAUGUCUAAAAAGAAAAAGCAAAGAGAUAUGCCCCUAUUAUGUAACCGAUCUUUGUUACCUAACGUUUUGUUCUUUAUCAAAUGUAAACAGAUAGAGAUUCUGAGGAAGA